rnacentral:rRNA from 2 species
AAUAUGACUCUCGGCAACGGAUAUCUCGGCUCUCGCCACGAUGAAGAAUGUAGCGAAAUGCGAUACUUAGUGUGAAUUGCAGAAUCCCGUGAAUCAUCGAGUCUUUGAACGCAAGUUGCGCCCGAGGCCUCGGCCGAGGGCACGCCUGCUUGGGCGUCGCAC